rnacentral:rRNA from 1 species
GAACGCUGGCGGCGUGCUUAACACAUGCAAGUCGAGCGGAAAGGCCCUUCGGGGUACUCGAGCGGCGAACGGGUGAGUAACACGUGAGCAACCUGCCCUAGGCUUUGGGAUAACCCUCGGAAACGGGGGCUAAUACCGAAUAUGACCACUGAUCGCAUGGUUGGUGGUGGAAAGUUUUUCGGCCUGGGAUGGGCUCGCGGCCUAUCAGCUUGUUGGUGGGGUGAUGGCCUACCAAGGCGACGACGGGUAGCCGGCCUGAGAGGGCGACCGGCCACACUGGGACUGAGACACGGCCCAGACUCCUACGGGAGGCAGCAGUGGGGAAUAUUGCACAAUGGGCGGAAGCCUGAUGCAGCGACGCCGCGUGAGGGAUGACGGCCUUCGGGUUGUAAACCUCUUUCAGCAGGGACGAAGCGUAAGUGACGGUACCUGCAGAAGAAGCGCCGGCCAACUACGUGCCAGCAGCCGCGGUAAGACGUAGGGCGCGAGCGUUGUCCGGAUUUAUUGGGCGUAAAGAGCUCGUAGGCGGC